rnacentral:lncRNA from 1 species
ACUAAAAAAGUUUCUUCAAUAAAGCCUUUUUCUAAGGAAAAGUCCCGACUAAAAGGACUUUUUAGUAGUCCGUAGUUAAAGAAACACCAUCUCAUUCCCGGCCGGAGCAACCAGUGUCCACAACAGAGGUUGCAGUUGAUCCUGAAGCUCAAGUGGAAGAAAUUGCAAAACACUAAUAAGAAUUGCACCCUCUCACCGGAUCUAGCAAGAAAUCAUUCCCUGCUUUCCAAGCAUCACAUUCCCCAACCGACCCCACUAUGAUGAUGGGGAAUGGGAACAGAAUUCAAGUUGUACGCCAACAAAACUAUUCCCUGAGGCCUGAGCUGCUCAUGAUCUUCUCGGGGUUAUGCCCGUGAUCAGUUGCGCGUAUUUUUCAUGCCAUUCGACGAAGCACCUCUGCAAAUCAUGGCGUUACAUUGGCCAAAAAGGCCACAGCUCAUAGCCCCUAGACUACAGAGAUUGCUCUUACAGUUCGAGUUCAAGUUCAAGUUCACCCCCAAACAUUGCAGCUCCUACACUAAAGCACUAAUUAAAGAGGCACACAGACAGACCGCCCCGAGCUUCCAUACGCAGCCCAGCCACCACCCAACCGAGCACCUAGCUUCAUACUAGGACGAGGUCGGCGGCGCGGCGGCCGUCGUCGAAAUUGAGGGCGUAGCUGAGCGCGUCGUAGUGGAAGUUGAAGCGCUCCCGUCUGCCGCCGCCGCCGCCGNNNCCGCCGCCGCCGCCGCGCCACCUGCGCCGCUCCGACUGGACCCGCCGGAUCCCCGCGCGCAGGCGCCAGUACAGGCUGCGGACCAGCUUGCUGCUCCGCCCGCUCGCCACCGCCACCACCCCCGCCUCAACGGCCGCCACCACAGCCGCCAUUCCCCCUUGCGCGGUCGCGGUGGGGGUCGUCUAUGUCGGGACUGCUUGUGAGCUAGAGUGGCAUGCUGCGGGAGCGCUCUCUCCUCCGCUCUGUGGUGUGCAGUGGUAGGUCGCGGUACGCAGGCAGUGUGGGCAGGCAGAGAGUGAUGAGGAUAUGGGACAUUGGUGUGGAGCUGGGAAAGCGUAUAUAACGACCUCCCAAGUCGGAACCUUUUGCUCCGUUACGCCAUCGCCUCUCUGGCUGUGCCUGCUUCGGUUAAUGUCGUGGGUCCGCCCAGUGGUACUGCCACGGUACCACCACUCCGCUUCACUAGCACGAGAGUAGGUAGGAAUCUUAGAG